rnacentral:tRNA from 1 species
GUAGUCAUGGCCAGGUGGUUACGGCGAUGGACUAGAUAUCCAUUGAGAGAAUCCCGCGUAUGUUCGAAGCCUACCGACUACG